GACAGAGGUGCCAAGCGUUAGGCGGAAUCACUGGGCUUAAAGCGUGUGUAGGCGGAUCGUUAAGUACCUUGUGAAAUCCCACGGCUCAACCGUGGAACUGCUGGGUAUACUGGCGAUCUUGAGCCACCUAGGGGCGAGCGGAACAAACGGUGGAGCGGUGAAAUGCGUAGAUAUCGUUUGGAACGCCAACGGUGAAAACAGCUCGCUGGGGGUGUGCUGACGCUGAGACACGAAGGCCAGGGGAGCGAACGGG
rnacentral:rRNA from 1 species